GUGUCAGCCGCCGCGGUAAUACGAAGGGGGCUAGCGUUGCUCGGAAUCACUGGGCGUAAAGGGUGCGUAGGCGGGUUUUUAAGUCAGAGGUGAAAUCCUGGAGCUCAACUCCAGAACUGCCUUUGAUACUGAAAGUCUUGAGUAUGGGAGAGGUGAGUGGAACUGCGAGUGUAGAGGUGAAAUUCGUAGAUAUUCGCAAGAACACCAGUGGCGAAGGCGGCUCACUGGCCCAUUACUGACGCUGAGGCACGAAAGCGUGGGGAGCAAACAGGAUUAGAAACCCCCGUAGUCC
rnacentral:rRNA from 1 species